rfam:Streptomyces sp. MTSC 1 180, whole genome shotgun sequence.
CUUCACCGAUCCCAGCCACAACGGCCGGUCACCGUCCCGCUCCUGCCCGUACGUGGCCAGCAGCGCCUGCGCCUC